GUUUUUACUUUACCUUUUCUCUUCGUUUUUUCAUCUCCGUUGCUCUGCAAUUUUCUCCUUCAUCGCUCCCUCUUUUGCUGCCAAAUCUUUGCUCUUUCUUCGCAAAAUAGUCUCAAAAGAGAUCCUGACUUUAAUUUUAUUGGGGAUUUGGUUUCCGGUCUUCUCCGGUGUUGGACCCUUUGUUUGAUUUUAUUGGCUGUUUUGUUUCCGGUCUUCUCCGUUGUCGAACCCUUUGUUGGUCAGCGUUUUGUUCUCAUCUUGCCAUCGUUGGGAUCAAAAUUUGAAGGUCAUUAGGCUCCUUUUGCUUCCAAAGUUUUUGAACCUGACCGAAGUCAGUUUGCUGAAUCGCUUUUGCGUGUUAGUGAUUUUUUUUUGGCAGUGAAAUCAUCGCUGCCACCUAACAAAUCUAGCUGCUGUAAUAUCAAUUGUUAUUGUUGGAGGGAGAAUGAAAAACAGAUUCUUUGCAAGCAUCACACAAAGGCCAUCGUUUAUUCUGUAUGAAAACCACAGAUUUGUAGCCAAUGAUCUUUUACCGAUUGUCUAAGAGCUUCCAUAGGACUUGCUCUGUGCUAUUCCUUUGCGGUAACCUCCAA